ensembl:lncRNA
AACGUCUCGUGAUUAACCGUGGACAUGGCUUCCAUGUAAAACAUGGCUCCCUUGUAAAUAUGUUAUGGUUCCCGUAAACCUAUGUAAUACAUCGGAAGAGCCGUUUUGUCGGCCAUCCAAACGUUCAGUACACCCUCAGCAGCUGCAGUCUCCACUUCACAAUCGCCGCAGCACUUGGAAUCCAGCAAUGCACCUGGACCAACAACACCUGCCGUCUCCACUGGGAUAUCAUACCGCUUGGUGGAACCAGAGGCGCUUUCUGAUCGUGACUUUGAAAGUCCAGUCUGCCGGAGAAGACCAGCAUGUCUUUAUCCUGUUUUCCUUCUCUCACCCCAACCGGUCGCAGCAGAUGGCCCCGCCCCUCCCUGAGCCUGGUUCUGCCGGAGGUUUCUUCCUGUUAAAAGGGAGUUUUUCCUUCCCACUGUCGCCAAAGUGCUUGCUCAUAGGGG